rnacentral:rRNA from 1 species
AUUGAACGCUGGCGGCAUGCUUUACNCAUGCAAGUCGAACGGCAGCACGGGGGGCAACCCUGGUGGCGAGUGGCGAACGGGUGAGUAAUGCAUCGGAACGUAUCUUCAAGUGGGGGAUAACGCAUCGAAAGAUGCGCUAAUACCGCAUAAUCUCUGAGGAGAAAAGCAGGGGAUCGCAAGACCUUGCGCUUCUGGAGCGGCCGAUGUCUGAUUAGCUAGUUGGUGGGGUAAAGGCUUACCAAGGCUUCGAUCAGUAGCUGGUCUGAGAGGACGACCAGCCACACUGGGACUGAGACACGGCCCAGACUCCUACGGGAGGCAGCAGUGGGGAAUUUUGGACAAUGGGGGAAACCCUGAUCCAGCCAUGCCGCGUGAGUGAAGAAGGCCUCGGUUGUAAGUACU